GGGCCCGCACAAGCGGAGGAACAUGUGGUUUAAUUUCGAUGAUACGCGAGGAACCUUACCUGGGCUUAAAUAGUAGAUUGCAUGGAGUGGAAACAUUCCUUUCCUUCGGGACUAUUUACAAGGUGCUGCAUGGUUGUCGUCAGCUCGUGCCGUGAGGUGUCGGGUUAAGUCCCAUAACGAGCGCAACCCUCAUUUCCAGUUGCCAUCAAGUCAAGUUGGGGACUCUGGAAAGACUGCCGGUGUAAACCGUGAGGAAGGUGGGGAUGACGUCAAAUCAGCACGGCCCUUAUGUCCAGGGCUACACACGUGUUACAAUGGUCGAUACAAUGGGCAGCCACCUGGCGACAGGGCGCUAAUCCUCAAAGUCGGUCUUAGUUCGGAUCGGAGUCUGCAACUCGACUCCGUGAAGCUGGAUUCGCUAGUAAUCGCAGAUCAGCCAUGCUG
rnacentral:rRNA from 1 species